GGAGUUUUUGCUGACAAGGAAACAAGCUUUUGCACCUCAGUCCAACUUUCAAUUUUCACGGUCCUCUAUUCAUUGUUCCGCGUCCCUUUGAAGAUAUACAAGCCUGAAGACAGGACAUCUCUUGAGUCUGAUCUUUGCGCUGGCUUUAUUUGGUGCUUUGGAGAAGCGUUUUCUCUUCUUCACACUUGCAAACCACCUCUCAAGUUGUUGGACAUGCUGUAGGAGCAUUCGGAUUCACUUUCAAAGCCUAGACGAUGUGCUAACUGUGCAGACGUCAGGAGCGGCAAUCCAUUAGGAUGAGGAUCUUAAAUAAACCCAGCAGUCUGAGGAUAAUGGCUAUGGUGAGAUCUUCACUGCAGAAAGUGAUGCUUUUCCUCCAACACAUCCAAAGAAUGGCCGUCACGUCACCACGUUAUCAGAAACUGUGCAAGGACAUUCAGACAGAUGUUGAUACACACACGGAUCUUUCUAAACAGGCUCCGGGGUGUCAGAUCCCGAAUUCCAAGGCGCGAGAGCUUGACAAGUUUGGAGAUGUGGACCACAUUCAUAUAGCCUCGAGAAGAGAUUGCUUGGAGCCCGGUGCGGAGAACUGGACGGGACUCAUAGCCAUCCUCGAAGAGCUUUGGUUCUGGGUAAAGCUGAAGGACGAGGACCUGUCAAGGCAGAGGCCGGUGGGAGAAGACGUACAUACUUUACUGCAGAAACAAGCCUACCGUACGGCCCUGCACAGCGAGUUGAUUGGACGGAGACAGGACGUGAAUCAGAUGUGUCUUUCUCUGGCUGUUCAAUCCACAGCGACGGAAGUCCAGAGCAAUACAGAGACGGCUGCGGCAGAGACGGUCCAGGAGGAGAAGAUUCGUCAGCUGGCUCAAGCGGUUCAGGAGCAGGCCACUGAGGUCCAGCAGCACUGGGAGUUAUUCAGUGCUCAGGCCGCCAGCUGGCAACACGAGGUGGACUGGGCUCUGAGGAAACUUCAGGAUCUCCAGCAUGCCAUGAACCAGCUGGACCUCGGCUUGGCUGAGAUAGAGAAUGAGAGCUUGCACUCUGAGGAACACCGCAGGGUCAGCUGUGUGCUGGAGAACGUGGAAAAUAUUGUUUAUGAGUAUCCACAAGUGUUUAAGAGAAGAGGGAAAAUUUACUCUGGGAUUGUGGGUAAUCAGCACCGACAGUUGCAGUGCUCUCAAACGGAUAAGGGAUAUUUCUCCCAUGACUUCUUGUCUGUUUCCGUUCAGUCCCCUUGGCAAAGAGCUGUUUUUCAUAACGGCGUCCCUUAUUACAUCAAUCAUGAGCAGCAGACCACCUCGUGGGAUCAUCCAAAGAUGACACAGCUAUUUCAGUCAAUGGCCGAUCUGAGCCAUGUGCGUUUCUCCGCUUACCGCACAGCCAUGAAGAGCCGGCGGCUACAGAAAGCCCUCUGCUUGGACCUUUUGGAGCUCGGCAUCGCUCAGAGUGUCUUUGAUCAACACAAACUCACACAUAAUGGCCAGCUACUGGAGAUUCCUGGCAUCAUAAACUGUCUCUGCACAAUCUACCGUGAACUUCAGCAGGUGCAUCCGGAUCUGGUUGAUGUGCCUUUGUGUGUGGAUCUGUGUCUAAACUGGCUUCUGAAGGUCUACGACAGCGACCGAAGCGGAAAGGUUCGAGUGUUGUCCAUGAAGAUCGGCUUGUUUUCUCUUUCGAAAGGACCUCUAAAGGAUAAGUACAAAUAUCUGUUCGCUCAGGUGUCCGGCGCUGCAGGUGUCUGUAACCAGAGACAGCUAGCAUUACUGCUUCACAACAGCAUCCAGAUCCCACACCAGCUCGGGGAGGCCGCUGCGUUCGGAGGGAGUAACAUGGAGCCCAGUGUCCGUAGCUGCUUUCAGUAUGUGGGCCGUGAUGACGUCAUUGAGCUGCAGCAGUUUGAGGACUGGAUGCAUUUGGAGCCUCAGUCCAUGGUCUGGCUGCCUGUGCUUCACAGAGUCGCCGCAGCAGAAACCGCCAAACAUCAGGCCAGAUGCAACAUCUGCAAAGAGUGUCCCAUGGUGGGCUUGAGGUAUCGGAGUCUGAAGCACUUCAACUACAAUGUGUGUCAGAUGUGUUUUUUCUCGGGAAGGAUUUCCAAGGACCAUCAUCUCAGCUAUCCAAUGGUGGAGUACUGCACCCCUCCAGUGCCGAAACUCUCCUGUCCCUGCCUCUGUAAUUCUUCACGCACAACAGAACAUUUCCCUACAGCCUCUCUGUUACAGACCACCUCAGGAGAAGAUGUGCGUGACUUCACCAAGGUGCUGAAAAACAAGUUCCGCUCAAAGAAGUACUUCACCAAACACCCUCGGCUCGGCUACCUGCCCGUGCAGGCCAUCCUGGAGGAGGAGCAUUUAGAGACCCCCGUUGCAUUUGUAAGCAUGUGUCCAGAGGAGUACGAGUCGACACAGAACAACAGAGAAUCCAGGACCAUCCUACCUGUGGCAGAAUCUCGCCUGUCGGCAGGAAAAAUCAGUGCAGACGACAUCCGCACUCAGACUGAUGAGAGAGCAUGUGCACACCAGAGCUCAUCCGACGCUGAGAUGAUGGUGAACGAGCUGGAACCUUCUCAGAGUCUGGAGGCGGACAGAUCUGAGGAUGUUUUUGGCAACUUCACAUGAGAUUCUUCAAUCAGAUGAGAUAGUGGUGGCCUGGGAUCUGAAGUUUGAGUUCUUUGCAUAAGAUUUCAUCUUGCAUCACCCAAUUGCAGUGUUGCAAACUGAAAAGAGCCGAUUUCUUUAACCAAGAUGCUAUUAAAGCCACCCCAUCUCUAAAGAUUACAUUAAAUGAUCUCGUUCGUUUUAGGAGAUGAUGGAAACCAUUAAUGCCUGUUUAAUGGGCUAAUGGUUUAAGGAACCAUUCAUUCAUUAUGUAAUUGGUAAUUACGGUGUUACAUAAUACUAAUUACAAUGCAAAGCAGACAAAAGAUUUGUUGCUAAAAACACCAUACCUCCUUGAGGAUUAAGGAUAUAGCCAUAGUCUCUGUAAAGAUUGUUAUCAUGAAGGUAUGCAUCAUUUAUCGAAGUACAUUAUCGCUCCAGAAAGCUGUGCUUCUAUGUUUAGCUUAUGAAAUGUGGCGGUGGUUCUGGGUCUAAUAUUUGUCUGUCUAAACCUCUGCCGUAAAAGCCAAUUUCCAUUAAGGUUACUGAAGCAGAUGAUUCCAGCUGACCACAGUCCAGCCCCUCAGUCUUAGAUCCAUUCAUGACAUUUAUCAUAGUUUUUCAUGGCUGAGAUAGAAACUGAAAAGGAGACAAAGUAUUUGUUUAUACAAGUAUGGCCUAAUUAAUGGUGAUUUAUAGGCUACUCAAUAGCCAAAUCCAACUUUAAAGAAGUCAAAAUCAUUGAUUUACUAACAAAUUUGUAUCUCUCAGAAAAAUUGUCCUGCUAAAGACAUUUUUUUUUAAAUGAUCAUAUUAUGAUUCUGAAUACAGCAGCAGCACCUAGUGGUAAGACACUUUACAAAAUAAAAAUAAAGGA